AGUGAACGCUGGCGGUAGGCCUAACACAUGCAAGUCGAACGGCAGCACAGUAAGAGCUUGCUCUUACGGGUGGCGAGUGGCGGACGGGUGAGGAGUACAUCGGAAUCUACUUUUUCGUGGGGGAUAACGUAGGGAAACUUACGCUAAUACCGCAUACGACCUACGGGUGAAAGCAGGGGAUCUUCGGACCUUGCGCGGUUGAAUGAGCCGAUGUCGGAUUAGCUAGUUGGCGGGGUAAAGGCCCACCAAGGCGACGAUCCGUAGCUGGUCUGAGAGGAUGAUCAGCCACACUGGAACUGAGACACGGUCCAGACUCCUACGGGAGGCAGCAGUGGGGAAUAUUGGACAAUGGGCGCAAGCCUGAUCCAGCCAUACCGCGUGGGUGAAGAAGGCCUUCGGGUUGUAAAGCCCUUUUGUGGGGAAAGAAAAGCAGCAGGUUAAUACCCCGCUGUUCUGACGGUACCCAAAGAAUAAGCACCGGCUAACUUCGUG
rnacentral:rRNA from 1 species